CCUACGGGUGGCAGCAGUCGGGAAUAUUGCGCAAUGGAGGAAACUCUGAUGCAGCGACGCCGCGUGUAGGAAGAAGGUUUUCGGAUUGUAAACUGCUUUAGACAGGGAAGAAAAGAGACAGUACCUGUAGAAUAAGCUCCGGCUAAAUACUUGCCAGCAGCCGCGGUAAUACGUAGGGAGCCAGCGUUAUCCGGAUUUAGUGGGUGUAAAGGGUGCGGAGACGGAGAAGCAAGUCAGUUGUGAAAUCCCUCGGCUUAACUGAGGAACUGCAACUGAAACUACUUCCCUUGAGUACUGGAGAGGAAAGUGGAAUUCCUAGUGUAGCGGUGAAAUGCGUAGAUAUUAGGAGGAACACCAGUGGCGAAGGCGGCUUUCUGGACAGUAACUGACGUUGAGGCACGAAAGUGUGGGGAGCAAACAGGAUUAGAUACCCGUGUAGUC
rnacentral:rRNA from 1 species